rnacentral:tRNA from 1 species
GGGCCGGUAGCUUAAUGGUUAAAGCGAGGGACUCAUAAUCCCCAGAGUGUGGGUUCAAUUCCCACCCGGCCCACCA